AUCUGGGAGCCAGCUGCCCUGUAGGUUGGAAUCCACAGGAAGACCCCAUCGGAGCGCCCGCAGCGGGCUGGUCUUCGAAGGGCAGGCAGGAAUCGUGCGCUGGGCGUGGAGGCCUGGGUCAGGCGUCCUUGGCCCGGGCCCUGAGCGAGGACCUCCCUGGUAUGUUAAUGAUGCCCCAGAGGCCACGGAGAACAGGGCUUUAAAGGUUCACUGCAGCUGAUGGCCGUCCGUGUUUGCUGGACCCCAGGAAAGGGGCUGUCAGGCUCCAUCUGCAAAUGUCAGGAGCUGAGCAGGGGCGGCCUCCCAGGCCCCGCAGAGCUGUCUGGACGAAGAGGCCGUUGUUACUGAAGGACUUACUCUUUACCAAGGCUACACCGCGUUCAAGUCUGAAAGCAAGAGAGGCUGAAUGACUCCAAGAGAAAGCCAAGCAUCCUCCUGUCGUGGUCAGCUCUGAUGCUUCAAGCCUGGACCCCAGCUUAGAACGGUUACAGCAGGUACUGUUCCAGCUGGAAGGAGGCUUGAAGCCCCUCCUUGUACAGACGGGGAAACUGAGGUCCAGAGAGAGAGCGCUUGUCCAAGUCUGCAGCGGAAGUUAGCGGGCCUGGACCUUAUUGAUGUGGUGUGUGGCCGACCUCAAGGAGACAGACGGACUCACCGUCACGGCCAAGGAGGAGCUGAGGGGCCAAAGAGCCAGCAUCCACAUAGUCAUGUGUGUUGUCUGAGCUUCCGCUCUGAGCUGGGCCCUGGGCGGCGGCAGAGACAAGACACAUGCAGUCCUGCCCUCAUGGGGCGCCUGGGUUGGCUCAGAGAUAACUGAUGUAGGGGGGCCGGGACCCUGAGAGAGCUGGGCCAGCCCCACAGGCCAUCGGGGGCUCUCCUAGGUGCCAUCCCUUGGAUCUGCCCGCUCAUGGGCUCGGGGCAGGCCAGGUGGUGGGCAGACCCCCGGCAGCCAGGAUGGUGAUGGGCUCCAGAGCUUGGGCCACAGAAAAGCUGCUCGUCCUCCUGCCUCUGCUCUGAGCGUGUCUGAGCUUGACCCCGAGGGAGCCCAGUGGUUACCGGGGGCCCUACCACGCACAGGGCAGAAGCCACAGGACACAGCAACCUGCCCCCCCAGGGAGAAGCGAGCAUCAGUCUUGCUUUCUCCUGCAAGAUGAGCACAGUGGACCUGGUGGUCUUCAAAGUAGAGGCUCCCAGCUUGGAGGAUCCUUGAAUUCUGUGGUCGACGGUAUUUUGGGUACCUGUCCAGCUCCCCUUUCUGGGGGGGGACCUCGGAAGCCAUAACUACGUGACCUGACCCCAUCGGGUCGGCCAGGGCUGAUUGGACCGGGGCGAACACCUGACUCAUGGGGGCUGACCGGAGCCUCUCUCCUAGACCUGGGCUUUGUGACUCACCGGUCAUUCCGGGGGCAGGUGAGCUGGCGGGAGUGUAAGGCCCCCGCUGGGGCAGGAGGCACAGGGGAGGCUGGCUGCAGAGAGAGAAACUGCCCCAGAGAGCCGGGGUCCUGGGCAUUUGCUAGAUUCUGCGCCCACUCCCAACAUUCGUUCCCCGUUCUUCAGGAAAAAGUGCCCGAUUUACUUUGGGGGGAGACUCCCCCUCUCUGUCUGGCAGGCCGCCCUGCCCACCCCCCAUCCAGCUGGUCCUGAGACCCAGCACGGGGCCAUCAGACAGUCUCCCCAGGACUGAACUUUGAGCAAAGGGCUGCAGAGUCGGAGAAAGCAGCCCCAGCCGACGGCAGCCUGAAGACACUUUCCUUGUCUCCGCCUGUAGGUUCCACGUCCCUGAGGUUCCUCGGUCCUGCCCCUCCUGCCAUGCUCCAGCUGCUCCUUUAGUCCCCUGAGCACUUCUGUAGGACACACAGUGCCGAUUCCGCUGCCCUUAGCUGCCUUUGGUCUCUGCUACGGGCAACCCCGGAGCCGGGAGGUGGGAGAGGAAGCGGCUGCCUCCCAGGGCUGGCCUCACGGGGCCCUGGCUGGUCUCCUGCCCUCCUAAUAAAUCCUCCGUUUGCUCCAGCUGCCUCCGGGGCGAGCAAGGAUUUCCUGACCCUCCUGAGACCCGGAGAAGAACCUGUCGUGGGUUGGAAAUGCCAGGCAAGGGCUCGAGACGACAGCCUGCCCCCCGCCCCACCGCCUCCGGGGGGCGUGAGCCCAGCUCGCUGUCACCCACAGGGGGACAGCAGGAGGCAUGUGGCCAGCUGCCCACUUGUGAGAAGAGCCUCAGCUGAGACCCUCACAGAAGGCUUCCCUGGGGAAGGUGGCGCUCAGAGAAGGGACAGCUCCCCGAGCUCACGGGCAGCCAGAGGCUUUGAGGACCAGGACACUCGGCCUGUUGAUGGCCAUCCUGCGGGGGAUGGUCACGGGCUCCAGGAGCUGAGACACCCCUCCUCACAUCCAGGGCUCCUGUGGGCGCUGAGCGGGCGGGCCUUUGUCACCAGGCCAGACAGGCUUUGACCUGGUUCUCAUUCACAAAUCCACUCGCUCCGCUGCUCCCUGUGAGAACGACGCCUUCUGCGACCGGGGAAGCCGCCUUCCAGGGCCAUAAACAGCCCUGCGAGCCUGGCUUACCAAAGAGGAAACCGAGGCUCAGAGAGGCCCCAAGCCGGACCGUGGGUCCCGCAGGCAGGACUAGCACUCAGACUCUUGAUUUAGGGUCCUUUCCAGGGAUGCUUUAAUUAAACGAUUUCUUUUCUCCUUUGGCAAUAAUGAUAAUGUCAUAUUACUGAAACAAAUAUAUUAUUCAUCAAUAAUAAUAAUAAUAGGCAAUCUUUACUCAGUAGAGCCAAGUAUUUCACAUAUGUCACUUUACAUAAUUUGCAUAAUGACCCUGUGGGGAGGUGGUAUUUUUAUUAUGCCCACUUUCCAGAUAGGGAAACUGAGGCUUAAGGAGUUUAAGUAACUUACCUAAGGCCACACAGCCAGUAACGCAAUCUGGCUCCAGGGCCUGUGCCAACCACUGUUCCACCUCGCUUCCCUCCACAGGAAGGCCACCCCCCAUAGGCCCCAAAACACAAGGUGGGCCAGAGGGCCCCGUGAGGGUGUGACUGUGGCGGGCAGUCCUGACGCAGAGGGAUGACAGCUCCUGGUGCCCCCAAGCCGCGUCCCCUGGUCCUCUCCCGUCGCCGUGGCCCUGAGCGGGUGGUGACUGGCACAGGGGAACGAGGCAGCCCGCUCCCCAGCAGACAAGCCCGUGGGAAAGAGGGGAGACUCCUCCCUCGGCACCCAGGCUGACCCUUCCUCCCCCGGGCCCCGCAGCGUGUGCCCGCGCCACUCUCCCCGGCCGAGCCCCUGCCUGCCUUGGGCUCCUCCUGACACAGCGCUCCCAAGGCCACCGUCCACGGGCUGGAGUUGGCAGCCGCUGGAGCACAUUGUGGGGACAGGCGAGUCAGCUGGGCUGACCCCGGCGUAGCCGUCGAGCUCCCAUGAUGGGCCAGGCCCCCGCAGGGCGUCUGAGAUGGCGAAGGAGCUGUGGCUUGUGGGGCUCUCUCCGGCAAGGCCACCCUGUGGAUCGACUUACUAAAGACCCGCUGCUUCACCUCCAUCCGUGUAGCCCUCGCCAGCGUUCAGGUUGUCCCACUUUCCUUGAGAAAAUGCCCUCUUCGCUGUGCUCCCUCAUUCUCCUGGGGAGUCAGAGCUGGUAAAACAAUGGGCUCCUCACGGCUAUUUAUCCCACAGACACUGGUUCUUUAAAUACCAACUAGAAUUAAGAAAAAAAAAAGUUCAACAGUCAAAUAAGUGUGGAAAAUACUUAAAUAAAAUACUUCUUUCCUG
rnacentral:lncRNA from 1 species